GACGGAGGAUGCAAGCGUUAUCCGGAAUGAUUGGGCGUAAAGCGUCCGCAGGUGGCAGUUCAAGUCUGCUGUCAAAGACCGGGGCUUAACUUCGGAAAGGCAGUGGAAACUGAACAGCUAGAGUAUGGUAGGGGCAGAGGGAAUUCCUGGUGUAGCGGUGAAAUGCGCAGAUAUCAGGAGGAACACCGGUGGCGAAGGCGGUUCUCUGGGCCUGUACUGACGCUGAGGAACGAAAGCGUGGGGAGCGAACAGG
rnacentral:rRNA from 1 species